rnacentral:rRNA from 1 species
AACGAAUGCUGGCGGCGUGGAUUAGGCAUGCAAGUCGAACGGACUUGAGUAGCAAAACUCGAGUGAGUGGCGAAAGGGUGAGUAACACGUGAGUAAUCUGCCCUUAGGAUCGGGAUAACCUCGCGAAAGCGAGGCUAAUACCGACUGUGACCGUGUUGUCUUCGGACGAUAUGGUGAAAGGAUGGCCUCUAUUUAUAAGCUAUCGCCUUUGGAUGAGCUCGCGGUAUAUUAGCUAGUUGGUAGGGUAAUGGCCUACCAAGGCUAUGAUGUAUAGCUGGCCUGAGAGGGUGGUCAGCCACACUGGGACUGAGACACUGCCCAGACUCCUACGGGAGGCAGCAGUGGGAAUCUUGGACAAUGGGCGCAAGCCUGAUCCAGCCAUGCCGCGUGAGUGAAGAAGGCC